CAGAAAAAUUCCAUGAAGUGCAGAAGCAAUUUUACCCAGCGCUAGUUCGAAUAUAGUUUAUUAUCUAGAUCUGAAAAUGUAUUUGGACUCCCAGCUAACCAGGGUCUGAGUAUGCUCCCACAGUAAAUUUUUAAAAUCUAGAAUCGGUGGAGCACUAGAGUACCAUUUUAACAUUUGGGGCUAUUUUAUCACGUUUUGGUGAUUUUGAAUCAUCAUAAUAUUUAACACAUAACAACUCUACUUAAGAGCGACUGUCCGUAAAAAUCGAGCAAAAUUUGAAUUCUGCGG